GAUGAACGCUAGCUACAGGCUUAACACAUGCAAGUCGAGGGGCAGCAUGAAAGGAACUUCGGUUCUUUUUGAUGGCGACCGGCGCACGGGUGCGUAACGCGUAUCGAACCUGCCUCAUACUCGGGGAUAGCCUUGCGAAAGUAAGAUUAAUACCCGAUGGUAUCUUAAGCACGCAUGAGAUUAAGAUUAAAGAUUUAUCGGUAAGCGAUGGGGAUGCGUUCCAUUAGGCAGUUGGCGGGGUAACGGCCCACCAAACCUACGAUGGAUAGGGGUUCUGAGAGGAAGGUCCCCCACAUUGGAACUGAGACACGGUCCAAACUCCUACGGGAGGCAGCAGUGAGGAAUAUUGGUCAAUGGGCGAGAGCCUGAACCAGCCAAGUAGCGUGAAGGAUGACGGCCCUACGGGUUGUAAACUUCUUUUGUGCGGGAAUAAAGGAGCCUACGUGUAGGCUUUUGCAUGUACCGUAACGAAUAAGCAUCGGCUAACUCCGUGCCAGCAGCCGCGGUAAUACGGAGGAUGCGAGCGUUAUCCGGAUUUAUUGGGUUUAAAGGGAGCGUAGACGGGUUUUUAAGUCAGCUGUGAAAGUUUGGGGCUCAACCUUAAAAUUGCAGUUGAAACUGGAGACCUUGAGUACGGUUGAGGCAGGCGGAAUUCGUGGUGUAGCGGUGAAAUGCUUAGAUAUCACGAAGAACCCCGAUUGCGAAGGCAGCCUGCUAAGCCGCCACUGACGUUGAGGCUCGAAAGUGCGGGUAUCAAACAGG
rnacentral:rRNA from 1 species